CCAGGCUUGACAUCCUUGGAAGCCCUGCGAAAGCAGAGUGUGCCUUCGGGAACCAAGUGACAGGUGUUGCAUGGCCGUCGUCAGCUCGUGUCGUGAGAUGUUUGGUUAAGUCCAUCAACGAGCGCAACCCUUGUAGUUAGUUGAAUUUUUCUAGCUAGACUGCCCUGGUAACAGGGAGGAAGGAGGGGAUGAUGUCAGGUCAGUAUUACCCUUACGUCUGGGGCUACAAACACGCUACAAUGGCCGGUACAAAGGGCUGCCAAGUCGCGAGACGGAGCAAAUCCCAUCAAAGCCGGUCCAAGUUCGGAUAGCAGGCUGAAACUCGCCUGCUUGAAGCUGGAAUCGCUAGUAACGGUAGGUCAGCACACUACCGUGAAUACGUUCCC
rnacentral:rRNA from 1 species